rnacentral:rRNA from 1 species
AAAACGACUCUCGGCAACGGAUAUCUCGGCUCUCGCAUCGAUGAAGAACGUAGCGAAAUGCGAUACUUGGUGUGAACUGCAGAAUCCCGUGAACCAUCGAGUCUUUGAACGCAAGUUGCGCCCUAAGCCUUCUGGCCGAGGGCACGUCUGCCUGGGUGUCACAA